GUUUGAGUGUGCACGAGUCGGUUUCUUCUCCCUGCUGCUUCUAUCUUUACUUUACACUAAAGUCUUAGAGUUCUUCCCUCAUCUUCU